rnacentral:lncRNA from 1 species
UCUCACCUUUGCACUGCGGGCACCUAUCCUUCUCAUUGAUGGUCUCUCCAGUUCCCUUGCACUCAUUGCAUGGGUGCUGCAUCUGUUGAAUCAUCGAAGGUCCCAGCUGACGGAUCGAGACCUUCAUACCUGAACCCUGACAACCAGAGCAUUUCAUGGAAGCUCCGGAUUUGGAACCCUUACUGCCAUCCGAAUUAGGAUGCGCACGCACGUUAGAAACAAUGAUCGAAAGCUACCCAAAGCCAGAAAACAACGCACAGCAAUGUUAGCAGCGGAGAAAGGAAGAGAGAUUACCCCUUGCACUUCUGGCAGAUGACAUUUCGUGAAAGAGAAAGCUUCUUUGCUGUCCCAUUGUACAGAUCUUCCAGAGAAACCUUGAGGGGAUGGAUCACAUCUUCUCCCCUCCUCUGCCUUCGGCCCCGGCUGCUUCCACCUAUUCAUUCAUCCAAGCCAACAUCAUAACCAUAAGCAAGAUCUUCCCCCAUUAGAGAACAAAAUUAUCUUACGCUCUCAUCUAGCAAGGGACAGACAGACAAUGUUUACCUCCAAAGGGGUUUCCACCGAAGAAAGAUUGGAAGAUAUCAAAUGGGUCGUGGCCACCUCCACCGCCCAUUCCUUCCUUGAGGGCAUCCUCACCAUACUGAUCAUAGAUCUCACGCUUCUCAG